rnacentral:sRNA from 1 species
UCAAUACGGUUAUGAAUAUAUAUACAAAUU